GAGUGCCGCAGGGUCAGUAGUGUGUGCCUCGCCUGUGCCCGCUUCACACCCGCUCUCCUCGUCCUUCGCACAGACUCACCAUGGCGCUCAGAUCUGUGUGUCACGCUCACGAACUCCUGUUAUGAGGUGGCCGCGGCUCAGGUGACGCGCGACAGCGGGCGAGAGGAGAGGAGAGAGGAGAGAGAGAGAAAGAGAGAGUGAAAGAAAGAGAGAGAAAGAGAGAGACCAUGACGGAGGAUGAAUGUCACGGAAACGAGAAGGAGGAUGUGGAGGAACUGUACACCGCCAUCUUCCACUACGUGUUCCCAGCGCUGGUGGUGACGGGCAUCCUCACCAACACCCUCAACCUCAUUGUCCUCACCAGGCCACUCAUGAGGGGACGGACCUACAGGUGGCUCCGUGCCCUGGCGUGCGUGGACCUGUCGCUGUGCGUGCUGACGGUGCCGGUUUGCCUGGCGCGGGGCGGCGUGGCACCGCUGCGGUCCGCGGAGGUGGCGCGCUACUACGCGCACUUCGGCUGGUCGUUGAGCAUCGCCUCGCAGAUCCUCAGCUUCUACCUGAUGGGGAUGUUCGCCCUGGAGAGAUUCCUGGCGGUGUGUCGCCACGACCUGUACCCGCGCAGCCAGACGGACGCCGUGUUCCGGGGCGGCGUGGUGAGCAGCGCGGUGUUCGUGUUGCUGCUGUACCUGCCCACCAUGGUCGUGGGGCGCGUGGAGGCGGCGGGUGAGGGGCGAUGGAUGCCGCGGGACGGCUACUCCAUGCAGGAGUACACGUGGUACCGCGCCUAUGCCUGGCUCAGGGAAAUAUUCUCCCGCCUGGUGCCCGCCAUCCUCAUCACUUUUUGCAACGUGCGCAUCACGCUGCGCCUCAAGCACCUUAGAAACAUCCGCGAGGGGUUCGGCAGCGGCGUGCCUGCCGCCAGACGGGAGCGGGAGCGACGCCUGGUGCUGCUGCUGUUCUGGGUGACCACGCUGUUCUACAUCUUCAACACGCCCGUCACUGUGUACUACCUGGGCUUCCUGCACACACAGCGCUUCUGCGGCAAGGACAUGUCAGCCAGCCUGCUCAUCUUCGCUGCUGUCUCCAACCUGCUGCAGAUGCUAGGCAACGUCUCCAACUUUGUGCUCUACUUCCUCAUCAGCCCAGAGUUCCACAAGACGCUGUGCAACCUGCUGGCCUGCCGGGACACGGGGCGCCCCGCCAGCCUCAAGUUGCACUCCGGCAACACCACCACCACCACCAUGCUGCCCUCCACCGCCGCCGUCAUCACCGCCAUCAUCACCACGGCCAACCAAGACCAGUCUCUCACACGGCCAGACUCAGCCUGCCGCCACCACCUGCCUGGCGGCGCCGCGCCCCUCAACGGCGCCAACAACUUCUCAGGGAUGGAAGCUCGCCAGCCGUCCCCAGGAAGCCCUGCGUGAGCCAGGAACACACCUCACAGCGCCAUGCCCCCUACUCCAGCCCCCCGCACCACGCCACACAGCGGGAGGCAAGAUGGAGUGACGGCUGUGAGGUGACGCCGCCGCAUGCUGUGGUGUGCUGUGUUUCUGUGUUGCUGUGUUGAGGUGCUUGGGCAUCACUACACAACAGGCUCACCCCACGCACUGACGCCCUCACUGUACACUGUUGUGGCAGUUUGAUAAGUACAAAGUAGCAAUGAAGCAAGUAACAACACGGUCUGCCAACACAGACGCAAUGAUUUCAUAAUUAUAUUUCAUAAAUGUGUAAUUGUCUACUCAGCUCUAUUUAUAAAUAUCAUGGUGUGUGUUCCCAGCUCUCAUGUGCAAGUAAUAUUUGUUAUGAAUGUAUUAUAAUUACAAAAAAAGUAAUGAAAACUAUAAUACUGUUUAUAUUUAGAGAGCGAGCCUCGCCUGAAGCAGCAGCAGCAGCAGCAGCAGGGGCGGCAGCAGCAGCGGCAGAUGACGUCAGUGACCAGCUCGCGCAUCGCCACAACACAACACGGAAAAACCUUCACUCAUCACUCACACCUCACACUUACAGAGCGCCACGAUGUAAGUAAAGGCACCAAAUAUUAACCCCACACUUGUAUGAUGCAAGAACAACCACUGGUGAGGAAAGACGAAUAUUCACCACACACUUUAUCACCACCACACAACACGCGUCUAGUCACCACUCACCGCAGUCACCCUUGAGUCAGUGAGGUAAAGAAACAGCACGUGGCGACUCCAAUCACUGUUUUCUCUGUCACUGGAGUCCUCAGCAUCGGCCACACGUGCGGAACUCAGCAACAAGGCGGCGUGGGGCGGGAAUACAGCUGCUGAGUGUUCGGGGCCUUGGGAGGAGAAAAGGCGCACUGGAGAGAACAUGGGCGGCCUCCUUCACGCCCAUCUGCUCCUUCCCACGCCCGUCCGCACGCUCCCACGCCCACCCUCCUAAACCCAUCCGCCCGACCGCCCGCUG
rnacentral:misc_RNA from 1 species